AUUCUGACUUGGUGGAAUAUUUGCUCAGACAAAAAGGAACGUUUAUUUAGUGUAAAGGAGAGCUGUUUACAUUCCUUCUUCCUUGCGUGCUCCAACUGUCCAACUGGAAAGGGAAUAAUUUCAUCUUUUAAAAACACACGGAGGAGACCAAGUGGUUCCUGAGGCUGAGAAGGAUGUAAAAAAAAACAAAAAACCCCACCCCAAUUUCCUUUGGGACAUCUCAUGCCUGGAGACUCCAUCGUUCCCAAGAAAAACCACAGGUAGUCCUCGACUUAUGACCAUAGUUGGGGCCAGAAUUUCCACUGCUAAGCAAGAUGGUGAUUACGAGAUCUUUCGGAAUUGGACCAC